rnacentral:rRNA from 1 species
GAAGCCGGAAUUGCUGUAAUGGCAGGUCAGCAUACUGCCGUGAAUACGUUCCCGGGCCUUGUACACACCGCCCGUCACACCAUGAGAGUUGGGAAUACCCGAAGCCUGUGAGCUAACAUUAAGAGGCAGCAGUCGAAGGUAGAAUCAAUGAUUGGGGUGAAGUCGUAACAAGGUAGC